rnacentral:snRNA from 1 species
AUGCUUGCUUUGGCAGCACAUAUACUAAAAUUGGAAUGAUAGAGAGUAGCAUGGCCCCUCUGUGCAAGAUUGACACACAAAUUCAUGAAGCAUUCCAUAUUUAA